rnacentral:rRNA from 1 species
UGUAUAAUGGGUCAGCGACUUAUAUUCUGUAGCAAGGUUAACCGAAUAGGGGAGCCGAAGGGAAACCGAGUCUUAACUGGGCGUUAAGUUGCAGGGUAUAGACCCGAAACCCGGUGAUCUAGCCAUGGGCAGGUUGAAGGUUGGGUAACACUAACUGGAGGACCGAACCGACUAAUGUUGAAAAAUUAGCGGAUGACUUGUGGCUGGGGGUGAAAGGCCAAUCAAACCGGGAGAUAGCUGGUUCUCCCCGAAAGCUAUUUAGGUAGCGCCUCGUGAAUUCAUCUCCGGGGGUAGAGCACUGUUUCGGCAAGGGGGUCAUCCCGACUUACCAACCCGAUGCAAACUGCGAAUACCGGAGAAUGUUAUCACGGGAGACACACGGCGGGUGCUAACGUCCGUCGUGAAGAGGGAAACAACCCAGACCGCCAGCUAAGGUCCCAAAGUCAUGGUUAAGUGGGAAACGAUGUGGGAAGGCCCAGACAGCCAGGAUGUUGGCUUAGAAGCAGCCAUCAUUUAAAGAAAGCGUAAUAGCUCACUGGUCGAGUCGGCCUGCGCGGAAGAUGUAACGGGGCUAAACCAUGCACCGAAGCUGCGGCAGCGACACUAUGUGUUGUUGGGUAGGGGAGCGUUCUGUAAGCCUGCGAAGGUGUACUGUGAGGUAUGCUGGAGGUAUCAGAAGUGCGAAUGCUGACAUAAGUAACGAUAAAGCGGGUGAAAAGCCCGCUCGCCGGAAGACCAAGGGUUCCUGUCCAACGUUAAUCGGGGCAGGGUGAGUCGACCCCUAAGGCGAGGCCGAAAGGCGUAGUCGAUGGGAAACAGGUUAAUAUUCCUGUACUUGGUGUUACUGCGAAGGGGGGACGGAGAAGGCUAUGUUGGCCGGGCGACGGUUGUCCCGGUUUAAGCGUGUAGGCUGGUUUUCCAGGCAAAUCCGGAAAAUCAAGGCUGAGGCGUGAUGACGAGGCACUACGGUGCUGAAGCAACAAAUGCCCUGCUUCCAGGAAAAGCCUCUAAGCAUCAGGUAACAUCAAAUCGUACCCCAAACCGACACAGGUGGUCAGGUAGAGAAUACCAAGGCGCUUGAGAGAACUCGGGUGAAGGAACUAGGCAAAAUGGUGCCGUAACUUCGGGAGAAGGCACGCUGAUAUGUAGGUGAAGU